GGAGUAGUACUCAAGUUGGCCGAAGAGGCGCCCCUGCUAAGGGCGUAGGUCGGGAAACCGGCGCGAGAGUUCAAAUCUCUCCUACUCCGCCA
rnacentral:tRNA from 1 species